GUAGUCAUAUGCUUGUCUCAAAGAUUAAGCCAUGCAUGUCUAAGUAUAAGCAAUCUAUACGGUGAAACUGCGAAUGGCUCAUUAAAUCAGUUAUCGUUUAUUUGAUAGUACCUUACUACUUGGAUAACCGUGGUAAUUCUAGAGCUAAUACAUGCUAAAAACCUCGACUUCGGAAGGGGUGUAUUUAUUAGAUAAAAAACCAAUGCCCUUCGGGGCUCCUUGGUGAUUCAUAAUAACUUAACGAAUCGCAUGGCCUUGUGCCGGCGAUGGUUCAUUCAAAUUUCUGCCCUAUCAAUUUUCGAUUGUAGAGUAGUGGUCUACAAUGGUUUCAACGGGUAACGGGGAAUUAGGGUUCUAUUCCGGAGAGGGAGCCUGAGAAACGGCUACCACAUCCAAGGAAGGCAGCAGGCGCGCAAAUUACCCAAUCCCGACACGGGGAGGUAGUGACAAUAAAUACUGAUACAGGGCUCUUUUGGGUCUUGUAAUUGGAAUGAGUACAAUUUAAAUCCCUUAACGAGGAACAAUUGGAGGGCAAGUCUGGUGCCAGCAGCC
rnacentral:rRNA from 1 species